rnacentral:rRNA from 1 species
AGGACGAACGCUGGCGGCGUGCUUAACACAUGCAAGUCGAGCGACGCUCCUCCUUCGGGAGGAUGACGGAGCGGCGAACGGGUGAGUAACACGUGGGCAACCUGCCCCUAGCUCUGGGAUAACCCCGGGAAAUCGGGACUAAUACCGGAUAUGAAGUCGGACGGCAUCGUCUGACUUGGAAAGUUUUUCGGCUAGGGAUGGGCCCGCGGCCUAUCAGCUUGUUGGUGGGGUAACGGCCUACCAAGGCGACGACGGGUAGCCGGCCUGAGAGGGCGACCGGCCACACUGGGACUGAGACACGGCCCAGACUCCUACGGGAGGCAGCAGUGGGGAAUAUUGCACAAUGGGCGAAAGCCUGAUGCAGCGACGCCGCGUGAGGGAUGACUGCCUUCGGGUUGUAAACCUCUUUCAGCAGGGACGAAGCGAAAGUGACGGUACCUGCAGAAGAAGCACCGGCAACUACGUGCCAGCAGCCGC